UACGGAGGUGGCUAGCGUUGUUCGGAAUUACUGGGCGUAAAGCGCGUGUAGGCGGUAUCGUAAGUCCGAGGUGAAAGGCGGAGGCUCAACCUCGGAGCUGCCUCGGAAACUGGGAGUCUUGAGUGUGGGAGAGGGGCGUGGAAUUCCUGGUGUAGAGGUGAAAUGCGUAGAGAUCAGGUGGAACACCGGUGGCGAAGGCGGCGCCCUGGCCGAACAUUGACGCUGAGACGCGAAAGCGCGGGGAGCAAACGGG
rnacentral:rRNA from 1 species